rnacentral:tRNA from 1 species
CAGGGAGACAACAAGAUAAUGAUGUCUGAAUUAUUUUUUUAGGCCAUAAUCCUGUCACCUUAGGUCGAUCGGUACCUCUAUUUAAUAUCAAUAAAAGCUGAGAAAUUAGUUUUAUAAUAGGUAUUGAAUUCAGUUCCUAAACUUUUGUCUAGGUCACACCCAACAAGGGUACUCCUGGGCCAUUAGCUCAGGUGGUUAGAGCGCACCCCUGAUAAGGGUGAGGUCCCUGGUUCAAGUCCAGGAUGGCCCAUUCGUUGUUGGGGGUAUAGCUCAGUUGGUAGAGCGCCUGCUUUGCAAGCAGGAUGUCAGCGGUUCGAGUCCGCUUACCUCCACUGAUCGACCUCCUGAUAGCCAAGUUUAAGGAGUUUAUUGUUGAACGUGAUCUAGAGUCGGUUAACUGUGAAUGAACCUAGCUUCUUGUCAUUCUUGCUAAAAUUAUUUUUAGCUGUAUUUGAUAGGACGCUGGGCUCCCUGCAAUAGUAAAUAUUGCAGUGAUGUUCAGUAGAACCUUGACAACUGCAUAGGUGAGUCUGGAAAAAUAAAGCAUCUCAUGGAUGCAUUAUUUUCAGAUCAUAUUUAGUUAUCUGUUAUUCAGAUUUUCUAGUUUGAUUUGAAAAUAUAAUGUUUAAUUCUUGAGCAAGAGCUGAGACUCUAUAAUGUUCUUUCAUUGCUUAAAUGCACUGAGAGUUAGAUUUUUUAUUUUGAUUCAAAAUAAAAAAGAAAAGUGCUAACAACACAUGACUUUAUAGAGAUUUAUAU